rnacentral:ncRNA from 1 species
GGUGGAAAUAAAGCAUGUCUCCCAAAAGCGGGAACCGGUUUUGGGGCAAAGACAUGCGUAAAAACAAACAGAUAGAGCAUUUCCGACGAUUUAAUUCGGACAGGAAAUGCUCUAAGCAUGGCCGCGAGGCGGUAGGGGAAAGGAUUGGGAAUGGAAGUUCGUGUUGCCGGUGUGCGUAAGG